rnacentral:rRNA from 1 species
AACGAACGCUGGCGGCAUGCCUAACACAUGCAAGUCGAACGAGACCUUCGGGUCUAGUGGCGCACGGGUGCGUAACGCGUGGGAACCUGCCCUUAGGUUCGGAAUAACUCCCCGAAAGGGGUGCUAAUACCGGAUAAUGUCUUCGAACCAAAGAUUUAUCGCCUUUGGAUGGGCCCGCGUUGGAUUAGCUAGUUGGUAGGGUAAAAGCCUACCAAGGCGACGAGCCAUAGCUGGUCUGAGAGGAUGAUCAGCCACACUGGGACUGAGACACGGCCCAGACUCCUACGGGAGGCAGCAGUGGGGAAUAUUGGACAAUGGGCGAAAGCCUGAUCCAGCAAUGCCGCGUGAGUGAUGAAGGCCUUAGGGUUGUAAAGCUCUUUUACCCGGGAUGAUAAUGACAGUACCGGGAGAAUAAGCUCCGGCUAACUCCGUG